rnacentral:lncRNA from 1 species
UUUCUCUAUAAAUAGUGUCAUUGUAUGCAUUGAGAAAUCAUUGGAUUGUUGUAUUCCAAUCUCUCCUUUCACAGAAGUUUAUCUUCCUCCAUUCAUGGAGUGUCUUUCAUGGAAUUUAUUCGGAUUCCAUUGUAUUUGUUCUUCUCCUUUCGUGGAGUUUAAUUCAGGGAAUCUAAUUCAAGAAUUUAACAUGGUAUCAGAACAGUGAUUGCUUCCUGCUGCUACUUUUUGUUUUUCCAGCAUUCUACUGGAAUAUGAUUGUCUUUUCCAGCAAGGGAGGGCCAAAUCCCGUUGUGGUUCUUGGUUUUCUGAAGGUUGUUGAUAAUGUCAGAGCUUUCAAAGUUCAAACGUCAUUCAUGUUCGCAGUAUUGGACAUGAAAACUUCUCUUCUCUUUCAGUUAGUUUUGGUUCUCUAAAAUUUUCAGAAAUCUCUAUGGAAUUUCAAUCUUCAAGAUGGUGGAGAAAUUGAACCAAAGAUCCUUGUGGUAUCUUGCAGUUCGUAGUGUGCUUUAUUGUAGAUAGAGUAGAGUUGAAGUAGCCAUAGAUCUCAAGUAGUCCAUUUGUCAGUCAAAGAUUUUCAUAGUCUGCAAUCACUUAAUCACCACUACCAUUUAAAACUCGGUCCUGGACUUGUGUUGUGAUGCUUAUGUUUUCUAGAUGUGUUUGCAUCAAUGAUAACAAUUAUGCAGAUUGGGCCACUCUGUCUCUCAGUUAUUGAUGUUUCCCUAGGCAAAAGGGGCUAGCGAAGCAGGUUAGGAAAGCAGAAGUUCCCCAAUGGUUUUGAGGCUAGAGUGAAGUUGUCUGCAGUUAACUUGCAUUUUUCAAAACAGAUGCCAUUCUUUUGUUAAAACCUGUUUUGCAUCCGUGUUCCAUUCCUUAAUCUUCAAGAUGGAUCUCCAUAGUCCAUCUUGAGAGGGGUGUGUUAGAAUAUGAGAUUAGCAAUCUUUUAGUUACUGCAGAUUCCAUCUCAUUCCAUAAUCCAAAAACUUUAUCCAAACCGUUUUGUCUCCAGUUAUCUCCAGCUGUGAUGUUAGUUAGUAUUUGUUUGCUAGGUUAGUUGGUUGAUUAGUUAGAAAGUUAGUUAAUUACUCUACCAUUUUCUCUAUAAAUAGUGUCAUUGUAUGCAUUGAAAAAUCAUUGAAUUGUUGUAUUCCAAUCCCUCUUUUCACGAAGGUUUACCUUCUCCUUUCAUGGAUUGUCUUUCAUGAAAUUUAUUCGGAUUCCAUUGUAUUUGUUCUUCUCCUUUCAUGGAGUUUAAUUCAAAGAUUCUAAUUCAAGAAUUUAACACAAAUAGUUUGCAGCUUGGAGCAAACCUUUAGUUGUGGCUACUUAUGUGGUUGACUGGGAUAGCUGCGUUGCCGAUUGCAGAAGCUAUAGUGGCCUGGUU